rnacentral:rRNA from 1 species
UGACGCUUAUGAUUUCAGUAAAUAAUUUGAUUCUUGUUAUUAAAUUAAUUCAAUUAUUUGUUUGCAUGUAAAUUUUUGUGAGUGGUUUUGUUCUAAAUGGGUAAUUACUUAAUUUUCAGUGUUUAAUUUUUAUUUUUUAUUAAUAUUUUAAUUUGAGUAAUUUAUUUAAGUCAGAAUAAAUUUGUGCCAGCAUUCGCGGUUAUACAUUUUGUUUAAGUUAAUUUUUUCAGUUAGCAGUUUUUUUAAGAAUAUAUUUUAUUUGGGUGAAAUUUAUAUUUAUUAUCUCUUUUAUUCUGUUUAAGCUUUUAAUAGACCAGGAUUAGAUACCCUGUUAUUUUUGAUUAAUAAGUUUAUUUCUGGGUAGUAAGGUUUUUAUUGAAAUUCAAUGGAUCUGGCGGUUUUUAAAUCUUUUCAGAGGAACCUGUAAUUUGAAUGAUAGUCCACGAUUAAUUUCACUUUAUUUUUCUUGUAUAUCUCUGUCGUUGAAUGUAAUGAUAAUUAAUUUUCUUUUUUUUUUAAAGAUUUAUGUUAGGUCAAGGUGCAGUUAUAAUAAAGUUUUUAUGGGUUACUUUUAUUAUUGUUAGCGGAUAAUUUUUUUGUGAAUGUUUUGAAUUUGGAUUUGAAAGUAAUUUUUUUUAUUAAAUUUUUUGAAUUUAGCUCUUAAUUAUGUACAUAUCGCCCGUCACUCUCAUAAAUUGAGAUAAGUCGUAACAAAGUAGAUGUACUGGAAAGUGUA